GCAAGGGCAUGGAUGUGUCUGACACCAAUAGUAAUAAGAAGAUUACCCAUUGAGGCUUGUCAACUCUCCUUGCUCGCGGCAGCUUGAGGAGAUCCCUUGACAAUGAUUCAUGGCUUAAAACUCAGAACCAUCUGCUCUCUUGGAGAGUUCCGCAGCCAAGGUGAAGAGGAGAAUUUUCACAACUGCACUCUUUUUCCUUCUCAAGUCUAUGGAAAAGCAUCCAACAAACCACAAAAACCUGGCACUAAUUUGAAUAUGGCAAGGUUUGACGACUGUUGAUGAUAGAGAAAGGAGCUCAUGGAACUGAAAUUUUUCAAUAUCCUGCAAGGCCUUUCCUUGUCCAACUGAAGAAGAACACGACUUCAGUCAGUGGGUCUCAGCAGGUGCCACAGAAGAAGCACAUGCCAGCUGUGUGUUCUACAGCCUCGAGCUGUUCAAGAGAGUCAGCCAUCUGUCCCUCCACUAUAAGCCAGCAAGAGCACAGUCCUAACUCUUAUCAGAGAGCGCCACAUUUGGAAGAUGGACUUCCUGGGACAUUAAGGACAAACACACACUACGGAGCAGAGUCGCCUAAGCAUAAGUAAUACACAUAUUCUUUAAAAUAUUCUUAGUUAAAAGCCAAUCAUAAAUCAAUGCUUUGAACAAAACAUUUCCACUUAAAUUUGCAUGGAACAGCUUUAUAUUUAGACUUGAGGCUUUAUUUCUUUAAGAGGCAGUCUAUGACUAAAGAAAAAUUAUUUCAGGUGGUUUAUGCUUGGAGAGGUCUCAAGAUCCAUUGAUUUUCCUAGGGAUACACUCACCGAAAUAGAUGAGUUCCAGAAAAUCUCUUAAGGGUGUGCAACCCAAUUAAAUCUGGGCCACAUAGUCCUUCCUGAAGUAGAGCCAUAUUUUAAAAAUGCAGCCUGAUAGUCAAAUACAGUCAAAAGCAAGCAUCUGUGUUAAUACCACCUCAAUAUAGAGAUAGAAAUAUUCCACUCUCCAGGAGCCCCCUGUAUAUCCUUAAUUGAUUAUAAUUCCACUCAUCUAAAAAUAACCACUAUCCUGAAUUUUAUGCUAGUCAAUUACUUCUCUUUAUAGUUUUAAAUCUAUACAUACAUUUCUGAAAUAGCAUAGUUUAUUCUUUGCCUGCGGUGAAUCGUGUGUAUACACAUACAUAUGUAUAUAUGUACAUAUCUAUCUAUCUAUCUUGCUAUAGAUAUUCUUCAGUGUCUUGUUUCUUUCCCUCAGAUGUGGAUAUAGAUAUAGAUGCAGCUAUGAUUGGUAU
rnacentral:lncRNA from 1 species